GAGAAUGCAGAAUUGAAAAAGAAACUCGGAGACUUGGAGACUCGUUUUUCAGAACAGAGAGAGGAGGUGGCAAAAAUAAAGACAGAAACCUCAGGUCUAACUCCGGAAGAGUAUGAGGAAACCCAGAAAGCUGUGAACGAAACUUUUGCUGCUGUUCUUCGUGAUUCUUUUGUCUUUUGUGUAGUCAUAUUUGCUGCUUUUGCUGUCUUUGCUAAGUUUGUCAUACACAAUCAAUAGAACAUUAUCGCAGUGAUGUACUUAAAGUAUCAGCAAUACCUUUACAACCAGAUGAGGAACAUUAUAACUUCAAUGACAUUUAUAUAAGACCCACUAUAACAAACAAGAUAGAAAAGAACAGAGGGGAGUCUGAAGAAAAAGAAAUAAAGUCCAUGACAGAGAUUUUCACGGAGAUCCACAGAAAUUUAUUUAUGUUGUUGGAGAUGCAGGGUCUGGUAAGAGUUGUUUCUGUAAAUAUUUGAUCAACUGUUGGUGUAUGGCACACAGUAAUGGACACAAUGAAGAUGAUGAGUUUGAAAGAGUCAAGGAAAUGAAAAAAUUGAUUUCAUGUUAUAUAUUUCUCUUAGACAUAAUGUUAAGAUCCGAAGUGUCCAAGAAAUACAUGAAAUGCGAUAUGAUAAGAUGAAAAAUUUAAGUAAACUUCUGGAAAAUGAUUCUGAAAAGAUAAUUAUUUUGCUUGAUGGUUUAGAUGAAUGGUCUUUUGACAGUGAGACUAGGAAUGAGUUCCAGGCAGGGCUUUUGGAACGUGACAUUACAAAGAAAUACACCAUUGUUACUUCAUCAUGGCCAUGGAUUAUCACAGUUUGAGAGUAAGUAAUAGAGAGAUUCAUAAAUUAUUGAAAUUAAAAGGGUUUAAUAAAACACAUGAAAAAGAAAUGAAUAAGAAAACAAUAAAAGCAUUAAAUGGAUCAUAAGAUCCAAGUGAGUGUGAACAAAAGCUUAAGGUACACUCAUUAGUUGACCUGAAACAGGUACCAAUUAUGCUGCAGCAAUUGAUUUGUCUAUUGUGUGAUGGUCAACUCGAUGAAACCUCAAGGUAUGCUAUUUAUACUGUUAUGUUAGAACUUUAUUUCACCUAGAAUAUCUAUAAAACUUCAGGAAAUAAUGCAGAAUGUAUCGAAAGUUCUCAGAAUGUUGAACUCCCUCAGUAUUUAACAGAUGUAGAGAAAUGUAGAAUAAUAGUCAUCUUAUAUAUGGUGUGUCGCACUUACCUUAUGAGACAUUGUUCAAUUAUCCGAAGGAUAAGUCCUUUACAUUUGACAAAUCUGUGUUUGAUGAUUUGAAAAUAUCACAAGAUGUGCAAGAAACAUGUCUGAAACUGAGAAUUUCGACAGAAGAUAAAUGUCCUUCUUUAUCUGUAUCAAAACCUAAAAGCUCAUUGUUUUCUUUCAUUUACAAAUCAAUGCAAGAAUUUCUGGCUGCAGUGAAUAUUGGUAUCAAUUUUAAGAUAAGAAUAAAGUUGUCAGAUAGUACGCAAAUAGAAAAGUUUGAUUUGCAAAGCAAGUGCAUUCAGUUUGUUAAUGAGGUUUUUCAGAACUGUUCAACAGUAAAUGACAUAUUAGAGCAGUCAAAUGUUAUCAUUAUGCUAUGUGGUGUACAACCUAAAUUAGCAACACAUAUUUCAAAAUACAUAUAUGAUACUGUGUCAGAAAGAAGACUCUCGUGUUCAGGAAUACAGGAGAACAAUAAGUAGUGACAUUUAUUACGAUCAUCAUUUUAUUACUGAUGUUCAAAAGCUUAUGUUUGAUUCAAUGGAAGAAUAAAAUGCAGCAUGUAUUGGAGGAAAUAAUCUUGUGUUUUAUAUUGGAGAUUUGGUCUUUGAUAGAUGGGGUCAGUCAAAUUGUGAUAUUGUUUGUUCAAGUAUUGAUCAGAAACAAAUUGUUCCUGACUCUGUUCUGUCUAUUAAUGUAAAUAACAUCAACACAAAAAAUAUUAAAAUCACAAAAUAUUUUCCAAUGUUUCGUCAUCUUGAAAAAAAUGCAAUAUCGUAUGGAUAUGAAUCACAAAGGUUAUCAAGUACACAAAGUGAUAGUACACAGAGUAUUGAUGAGAUAAACAAUUGUGUUGCCGAGACAAUUUAAGUUAAUACGUUAACAUUAAAAUCUCUGUCUCUUGAUAGUGUCUCUUACACUGACAAGUAUUUCUCAGUGUGUAAAACAGUUGUUAGUUACCUACCUAGUAUGAUCAAUCUUGUAGCUAUAAGUAUGUUUGGUAUAACAAUGAGUCAUGAUGAUACAACUAUAUUUUGUAAUUUUCUUGAGGGAACCUGUCAUCUUGAAGAAAUACAUCUUUAUUAUGUUAAAUGUGAGUGUGAGAAGACAGGGCUGGGAAUCAAAACUGCGUCGUAUCCUACAAAAUGUAAACAAACGCCGCCAUCUUGGAACGAAAAACGUAUGUUUUUGUUUAUAACUCUUUUUGUUGGAAAUGACUGAAAACCAGAUAUAUGUAUUAACACGCUACACUAUUUUCCGCUUCGUUCGGUAUAUGUUGCUUGCACAACUAUUUUGUAAAACAAAAGUUAUAGCG